CCUACGGGAGGCAGCAGUAGGGAAUCUUUCACAAUGGGCGAAAGCCUGAUGGAGCAACGCCGCGUGCAGGAUUAAGGCCUUCGGGUUGUAAACUGCUUUUAUAAGCGAGAAAUAUGAUGGUAACUUAUGAAUAAGGAUCGGCUAACUACGUGCCAGCAGCCGCGGUCAUACGUAGGAUCCGAGCAUUAUCCGGAGUGACUGGGUGUAAAGAGUUGCGUAGGUGGCAUAAUAAGUAGCUAGUGAAAUCGGGUGGCUCAACCAUUCAGACUAUUAGCUAAACUGUUAAGCUCGAGACCGUUAGGGGUAACUGGAAUUUCUAGUGUAGGAGUGAAAUCCGUAGAUAUUAGAAGGAACACCAAUAGCGUAGGCAGGUUACUGGGACGGUUCUGACACUAAGGCACGAAAGCGUGGGGAGCAAACAGGAUUAGAUACCCUUGUAGUC
rnacentral:rRNA from 1 species